rnacentral:rasiRNA from 1 species
AAAGAGAGUAAUUUUGGCCGUCAA